AGCAGCCGCGGUAAUUCCAGCUCCAAUAGCGUAUAUUAAAGUUGUUGCAGUUAAAAAGCUCGUAGUUGAAUUUCGGGGUCAAUAAGUUGGUCAUGCCAAUGGUAUGCACUGGCUUUAUUGAUUCCUACCUCUUGACGAACUGUGAUGCCAUUAAUUUGGUGUUGCAAGGAAUCAGGACUGUUACCUUGAAAAAAUUAGAGUGUUUAAAGCAAGCUUACGCUUGAAUACAUUAGCAUGGAAUAAUGAAAUAGGACGUUUGGUCCUAUUUUGUUGGUUUUUAGGAUCGACGUAAUGAUUAAUAGGGAUAGUUGGGGGCAUUAGUAUUCAAUUGUCAGAGGUGAAAUUCUUGGAUUUUAUUGAAGACUAACCACUGCGAAAGCAUUUGCCAAGGAUGUUUUCAUUAAUCAAGAACGAAAGUUAAGGGGAUCGAAGACG
rnacentral:rRNA from 1 species